CCUACGGGAGGCAGCAGUGGGGAAUAUUGGACAAUGGGCGAAAGCCUGAUCCAGCAAUGCCGCGUGAGUGAUGAAGGCCUUAGGGUUGUAAAGCUCUUUUACCAGGGAUGAUAAUGACAGUACCUGGAGAAUAAGCUCCGGCUAACUCCGUGCCAGCAGCCGCGGUAAUACGGAGGGAGCUAGCGUUGUUCGGAAUUACUGGGCGUAAAGCGUACGUAGGCGGUUAUUCAAGUCAGAGGUGAAAGCCCGGGGCUCAACCCCGGAACUGCCUUUGAAACUAGAUAGCUAGAAUCUUGGAGAGGUUAGUGGAAUUCCGAGUGUAGAGGUGAAAUUCGUAGAUAUUCGGAAGAACACCAGUGGCGAAGGCGACUAACUGGACAAGUAUUGACGCUGAGGUACGAAAGCGUGGGGAGCAAACAGGAUUAGAUACCCUGGUAGUCCACGCCGUAAACGAUGAUAACUAGUUGUUCGGGCACUUGGUGCCUGAGUGACGCAGCUAACGCAUUAAGUUAUCCGCCUGGGGAUACGGUCGCAAGNUUAAAACUUAAAUGAAUUGACGG
rnacentral:rRNA from 1 species